rnacentral:rRNA from 1 species
UGGGGAAUUUUGGACAAUGGGGGAAACCCUGAUCCAGCCAUCCCGCGUGUGCGAUGAAGGCCUUCGGGUUGUAAAGCACUUUUUGCAGGAAAGAAACGUCAUGGGUUAAUACCCCGUGAAACUGACGGUACCUGCAGAAUAAGCACCGGCUAACUACGUGCCAGCAGCCGCGGUAAUACGUAGGGUGCAAGCGUUAAUCGGAAUUACUGGGCGUAAAGCGUGCGCAGGCGGUUCGGAAAGAAAGAUGUGAAAUCCCAGAGCUCAACUUUGGAACUGCAUUUUUAACUGCCGGGCUAGAGUGUGUCAGAGGGAGGUGGAAUUCCGCGUGUAGCAGUGAAAUGCGUAGAUAUGCGGAGGAACACCGAUGGCGAAGGCAGCCUCCUGGGAUAACACUGACGCUCAUGCACGAAAGCGUGGGGAGCAAACAGG